GGCAGGCUCAGGACAACCGGAGGACGGGCACACUGCUCUUUCCCCACUCUGCAGAUGAGGACAUGGAAAGAGGAAAGAGGUGGCUUGGCCAAGCUCACAUAGCCAGCCAGUGGUGGAGGCGAGAUGAGCCAGGAGGUGGCGGGGCAGGAGAAAAUGGGAGUAAUCCUUUAAAGCAAGCCCAGACAGAAAAGGCCUUGUCCCUGGGCCACCCCGAGACGUUAUCCUGAGCCCUGGAAGCUCUGUGUGGCUGGCCCAGCAGUUGCAGCCUCACUGGACAACGAGUGCUGAGCCCUGUGCUAACUCCGUGACGCUGCAAGGGAAGGCCGGUCACGCUGAGAGGCAAGGAGUUCACCGGAGAAAUGCUGGCUCCAAGUCUUUACAAUUUGCUUUGCCGCUAAUUCCCCUUAGAGUGCAGAGGAUGCAAGCAAAGGUGUCGGUAGUUAAUCCAAUAAUUAAAAACAAACACUG
rnacentral:lncRNA from 1 species